AAUUUCUUCCAAGAAUACAAUAGCUAUCAACCUUACUUUCAGUGCCGAUAAUUCAGAGAAAUUAAAGAAGUUAAUAAUGAGGUUAACUAACUGUCGUUAAGCGAUCAAAUUAAAUACUCUGUAAUUGUUCUUUGAAACUAAUCUAACAAUUUCACCAAAUGAAUUAAUUUCCUUUUUGAUCUUAAAACAAUGAGUGAACACAAGAAAAAGAUUGAAAUAUAACUCAUCACUUCAAUGAUUGGACACUCUGAGAUUGGAAAUCCUUCAUCGAUAGGCGAAUCUGUCUGAAAGAUUUACACUUGUUAUUUUACAUCAUGUGAAGAAAUGAUCAACUGACUUUCCUGAAGUAAACUUCAUUUUCUGAAUAAAGAAAUAAUAUUUGAAUUCAA